rnacentral:lncRNA from 1 species
UCCUAUUCUAACCUACACUAGUCCUAAGCUAAACUCCGUUGCUUUACCCGAUGCCUUGGACCUUCAUCACGAACCUCCUUUGCGUACAUGAUACGUCGGGGCAUUCCCUGGUAAAUAAGUACAAGAUCUUGAGGCAUCCCCCGACUAAUUGAAUACACUUUUCAAAUACGGUAAACAAAACAUUCAACAAAUAUUCCAAACAUUCCAACAAUCCACCAAUUCUAAAUUUUGCCUACCGAAGCCUAAUGCUUGCCUACUCGACGAUAUAUCACGUUCAAUAUCAACAAUGAAUCAAAAUAUCAUAAUAUUCACUUUUAUCAAUUUUCAAUUCCCGCCCUCAACUUCAUUUUUUAACCACAUGAUUAAACCAAUUUUGUACGUCAUUCAUCAAUCAAGUUUUCACCUCCAAAUCCAACAUCAAACAAACAACAAAUGGGGAUUCAAACAUACCAAUCACACAAAUCAUUCAUAAUCACGUAAAAAUUAGAAGAAGAAAAGGUAGAAUUGGACCUCAAUUAGACAAUUUUUUUUUUCGAACAACCAACGAUGGAUCGAAACUCACAAACUUAAACCCAGACAGAAACUCAACGUCAAACCUUAAUAACGAAAAACAACUCGACAAACUUCGAUCUGACCUCCAUUCGAAUCAACAACCAAAACAAAAACCAAUACGGCUGGACCUGGGAGCUAUUGGUUUUGUGUUGCCGGAACUCCAGCAAACUUAGACGGGACGAAAAAUGAAGAAAACUGCUCGAAUUCCGACAACAGUGAUGUUUUUCCGGUGAGUAAUGGCCGAAAACCCCAAAAUCAAACGGAUUCACCCCUUUUUCGUUCAACCACUUCAAUCUCUCUCUCUUUCUUUUCCAAUUCUCUCAAUUCCAUCUCUCUCUCUUGAUUCACUCCCUCGAUGAACCCUUCUCCCUCUUUUUUUCUUUUCUUUUCAGUUUUUGUGUGUGUGCGCCAUGGUGAGUGUGUGCGUAGUGUGAGUAUAUGAGAGUGUGUGUAUGUGUGUGUGUUGUGAACCAAAAGAAACGAAGAGCAAAAUGGUGUUUUCCUUUUUGUGAGUUUUUUUUUGUCUUCCUGAAUGAUGGAUGAAGAUGAUGAUGAAAAGAAAUGGUCCUCUCCCAUAUCCUGUAUUGCCCCCUGGUCAAUAGGUACUGUAGGUGUAUAUAUUAUUCUAUUGUGUCC